CCUUUCAAUUUCCUCCCGUCGUUUUUUAUCCCUUAGUUGAAGCUUUCUCUCUGCUCUUUCUGCUGAAUUUACUGCUUCCCUCUCAGCUUUCAAAUCAGGCUUUCUUUCAACUUUUGUUCUGUUCAAUCUAUUAACUAGCUCAUUUAUACGCUUCUCCACUUUCACAGUUCGAACCAUCUUCGGAUUGUGGAAGCCGACUUGGCCAACAUCCAUGGAAGCAGUUUUCUUUAAAUUGGACCAGGGAGUGUAAACAACAUCAAUGUUAUUCACCUUGUUGCCUGCAAUGUGAUAGAGGAACAACUUCAAAUGGCACUAAGUCAUAAUGCAGUGGGCGUUAGCAUUACUCUUUCUUUAAAAUGGAAAAGAAAAUGCAUUGUUAAGGGAACAGAUAAUAAUUAACAACGGUCUUACUACCUCAUGCUAGUAAGAUGAACUUAUUUGCUACAAACUUGGUAUGGAUUUUAAAAUUUCAGCAUGUCUAUUAUGAUAAAUUAUAAAGCAGAAAAAACUACAUUGGGGGAGUAGAAGCUACUUGAUAGACUAUAUGUGUAUAGAAGGGUGAUUAAUGGAAUUAUAGUACAAUGAGAAGAAUUUUAGAAAUAUUGCCUUGGAUUGAAUUUGCUUUGACAAGCUGAGCACAAUCCUCAAGUAAACCUUCACUUAUAUCAUCGAUUGUCUGUCCUUUGUGCAGUCUUAGAUAAACAUGAGCAGAAGACAUUUUGUCCACAUGGAACCAAAUGUCUUCGGGGAAACCGUAUUUGAUAAGCUCCUCGUUCUCGUACUUGUCGAGGCCCAUAAAAAUGGUGUAAUCUCCUACCUCCGGACGAGCUUUGAAAUAGAACACCAUUUUUCCUUUUUUCCUUCUCCUUCUGCACCUCUUCCUCUCUCUCUCUCUCUCUUGCUGUUUACCUUUUGACAAUGAAUGUUGAGAAAUUUGUGUUUGAGUGUGUUUGCACGAGUGUACACUCUCGUAAUCCAUCUAGCAUGUGUAACAGUGUACGCAAGAUAUUAGGCCUUGUGUUCUCCCCCCUUGUUUAUGACCUACUUCAUGUGACUUCUGAAAUUCUUUGCUUUUUUUUUUAUUUAUUCUUAACAUCUAUAAAUACAACAGCAUUGGAUGUGGAUACAUAUCAUCACCAUCUACUUUGUCCCUCCUUCUCCCCCCCUCUGUAUCUCUCUCUGCCUAUCAUAUGUCAGGGAGUGAUUUCAUGUACACAUUACACAUCUAUUAAUGCUGGGUAAUGUGAUGAACAUUCUCAGAUUUUGAAUAAUUCCUUUGUGUAGUAAAGUGAGAUUAUUUUUCUAUUAAGUUGGAGUUAUUGAGGCAUAUGCCUUUGAUUAAUGACUCCGUCAUCAAACCAGCCUGUGGACAUUCACCAAGGAGAUUUCUAUUUCCUCUUAAACUUUACUGUUAUUCUUUGCUUACCUGUUAAAGAUGUUUUGUAUUUUCUGUUAUCAAUACAAUUGUGUGUUGAUUGUACAUGCUUAUUGUUGCUUGUGCGUGCGUUCAUCAAAGCUUUAUGGGAAUUAUGCAGGUUGAUUUAGGAACAGAAACCAGGCAUUGCUUUUGCAAAGCUGGUGAUUUAUUGGCUGUGGUUGAGUGAAUUUCAGCAGUUGCACAUGAUUUCCAAAAGAGCAAUUUUCUGAGUUUUUGAGUAGGGCGUUGUUGUACGCUUAAAUAUAGUUACAAGGGAUUUUUUUCCUUGUGCAUUGAUGUCUCGAGUAAACUGUAAACUCUAUAAUUCAUAAGACUGGUGUCUCGAGUAAACUGUAGACUCAUUUCAUAAGAAUGUGUCAUAUAACUCUGUUAUAUUGAAUUCCUUCUUCCAUGCUUCUUGAUUCCAAUGUGCAAAAAUGAGGAUUUCUACCGAUAGUGAUUAUUAGCGAAUUUUAACGGAUUUGAUUC
rnacentral:misc_RNA from 1 species